rnacentral:lncRNA from 1 species
UGACAUUCAAUGCAAAAAAAUAUGGAACCACAAUAGUGUUUGCAAUAAAAUUUUUAUAAAAAGAAAGCAAAACAAAUUAAGAUAAAUCACAUGUGUGCCUUUUUUUUUCCCAAGACCGAAAAUCAAUCAGCCUUUUCUACUUGCUGGCCGUGAACGUGCUCCUUCCCUGCCAAGACAUCACAGCAGUUGCGCUCCUAAGAUCCACCAAAGUCACGGCUGCAGUAACUUGUGCUGUGUGCUUAGAAAAAAAUGGCAGCAACAACUCCUUCUUCAUUCAACCCAAGUCUAAGAACAUCAACAUGGUUCCCAGCUUUCUAGAAGAACAACGUUCCAUGCCCUCUCAAAAUAUGAAAUUGCCGAGAGAGUGUAUGCUCCAAGUGAGUGACGGCUCUGCUGCCUCUUUUUCUUCCUAGGAUCAAG